ensembl:snoRNA small nucleolar RNA SNORA11
GGGGUGUGUUCAGCACAGGGGGCCUGGAGAAUGGCUUCUCUGUUCACAGCAUACCCAAGAGGAAUCUGGGGCCAUUGCAUGGGGUGUACAGAGCGGUGUCCCCUCUGUGAGCAGAUCCCCUAACAUG